rnacentral:rRNA from 1 species
ACGCUGGCGGCGUGCCUAAUACAUGCAAGUCGAGCGAAGUUUUUCUGGUGCUUGCACCGGAAAAACUUAGCGGCGAACGGGUGAGUAACACGUAAAGAACCUGCCUCAUAGACUGGGACAACUAUUGGAAACGAUAGCUAAUACCGGAUAACAGCAUUAACUGCAUGGUUGAUGUUUAAAAGUUGGUUUCGCUAACACUAUGAGAUGGCUUUGCGGUGCAUUAGCUAGUUGGUGGGGUAAAGGCCUACCAAGGCGACGAUGCAUAGCCGACCUGAGAGGGUGAUCGGCCACACUGGGACUGAGACACGGCCCAGACUCCUACGGGAGGCAGCAGUAGGGAAUCUUCCGCAAUGGGCGAAAGCCUGACGGAGCAACGCCGCGUGAGUGAAGAAGGAUUUCGGUUCGUAAAGCUCUGUUGUUAGGGAAGAAUGAUUGUGUAGUAACUAUACACAGUAGAGACGGUACCUAACCAGAAAGCCACGGCUAACUACGUGCCAGCAGCCGCGGUAAUACGUAGGUGGCAAGCGUUGUCCGGAAUUAUUGGGCGUAAAGCGCGCGCAGGUGGUUUAAUAAGUCUGAUGUGAAAGCCCACGGCUCAACCGUGGAGGGUCAUUGGAAGCUGAUAAACUUGAGUGCAGGAGAGAAAAGUGGAAUUCCUAGUGUAGCGGUGAAAUGCGUAGAGAUUAGGAGGAACACCAGUGGCGAAGGCGGCUUUUUGGCCUGUAACUGACACUGAGGCGCGAAAGCGUGGGGAGCAAACAGGAUUAGAUACCCUGGUAGUCCACGCCGUAAACGAUGAGUGCUAAGUGUUGGUCUCAUAAGAGAUCAGUGCUGCAGCUAACGCAUUAAGCACUCCGCCUGGGGAGUACGACCGCAAGGUUGAAACUCAAAGGAAUUGACGGGGACCCGC